rnacentral:rRNA from 1 species
ACGGAAGGCAGCAGUGGGGAAUAUUGCACAAUGGGCGAAAGCCUGAUGCAGCGACGCCGCGUGAGUGAAGAAGUAUCUCGGUAUGUAAAGCUCUAUCAGCAGGGAAGAAAAUGACGGUACCUGACUAAGAAGCCCCGGCUAACUACGUGCCAGCAGCCGCGGUAAUACGUAGGGGGCAAGCGUUAUCCGGAUUUACUGGGUGUAAAGGGAGCGUAGACGGUUUGGCAAGUCUGAAGUGAAAUGCGGGGGCUCAACUCCUGAACUGCUUUGGAAACUGUCGAACUAGAGUGCAGGAGAGGUAAGUGGAAUUCCUAGUGUAGCGGUGAAAUUCGUAGAUAUUAGGAGGAACACCAGUGGCGAAGGCGGCUUACUGGACUGUAACUGACGUUGAGGCUCGAAAGCGUGGGGAGCAAACAGGAUUAGAUACCCUGGUA